GGUUUGAUCAUGGCUCAGAUUGAACGCUGGCGGGAUGCUUUACAUACAAGUCGAACGUAGCACGGACUUCGGUCUGGUGGCGAAACGGCGAACAGGUGAGUAAUGUAUCGGAACGUGCCUAGUAGCGAGGGAUAACUACGCGAAAGCGUAGCUAAUACCGCAUACGCCCUUCGGGGAAAGCGGGGACGCUUCGGGCCUCGCACUAUUAAACCGGCCGAUAUCAGAUUAGCUAGUUGGUGGG
rnacentral:misc_RNA from 1 species